CCCGGAAGUGUACAUGAGAGAGGGGGCGGUGGCAAAAGCGCUCCAUCAAGAUGGCGAAUGAGCAGCAGGAAUCAUCACAGGGAGAGAUGGAGGGAGUGAACUGUCUUGCACAUGACGAAGCCAUUAUGGCACAGCAGGACCGUAUUCAGCAAGAGAUAGCCACCACUAACGCUUUAGUGUCAGACAGACAAGAUCUCUCUGUGCUUCAGGGUGAAUAUGCUGCAGAAGACAGCAUUUACCAGCUCAAGAUAAAGGACCUUCAAAAAAAGUAUUCCUAUGUUCGAAAGACACGGCCGGAUGGAAAUUGUUUCUACAGAGCUUUUGGCUUUGCACAUUUGGAGUCACUACUGGAUGACAGCAAAGAGCUGCAAAGGUUUAAAGCUGUUGCAGCUAAGAGCAAACUGGACCUUGUAAACCAGGGCUUCACGGAGUUCACUAUCGAGGACUUUCACAACACUUUCAUGGACUUGAUUAAGCUGUGUGAAAAGCAGCAAUCACUUGGUGAACUGCUGAGCUCCUUCAAUGACCAGAGCGUGUCUGACUACAUAGUGGUUUACCUGAGGCUUCUCACCUCUGGAUACCUGCAGCGGGAGCAUGUGUUCUUUAAGCACUUCAUAGAGGGCAGCCGUUCUGUCAAAGAGUUUUGCCAGCAGGAGGUGGAACCCAUGUCGAAAGAGAGCGACCACAUCCAUAUCAUUGCCUUGGCAAAAGCACUGAAUGUGCCCGUAUUAGUGGAAUACAUGGACAGAGGAGAGGGUGGAACAGUGAACAAUCAUGUCUUCCCUGAAGGGAGUGAGCCACGCAUCUUCCUGCUCUACCGCCCAGGCCACUAUGACAUCCUGUAUAAGUGAUACUCUGUAUAUUCUGUGGUUCCAUUGUGAAGAAACCAUCCCAGUUCUACAGCCAGGUUGAGUCAUACAUGUGUAUGCGAUGCUAUGCUAUGAUUAAUCUUAAUAAAGUUUUCACUUCAGUUCUCCCCACAUUACAAAAUGAAUGAGAAUUUUUUUUCAGUGCAAAAAGAACUUAAAGCUCUUAAUCUCUUAAAAACUGACUCUGCAUCAAACUGCAGCAUUACGGUUGUACAAAAUCAUUUUACAAUUCAGAAGUGGAUCCAAACCAGUAACAAGAAAAUAAUAAACCAGCAUUACGUAAAUUGGUUUUAAUCUCAGACAGCACAAUGAUUUAAGUGCUCAAUUUACAUUCAUUUACCAAACUAACUACACCUUGAGUAGAUUGAUGGCUACUUAAAGUAGGUUUGGGUAAAAA